rnacentral:rRNA from 1 species
UACGUAGGGUGCGAGCGUUGUCCGGAAUUAUUGGGCGUAAAGGGCGCGUAGGCGGUUUUUUAAGGCUGAUGUAUAAGUUCAAGGCUCAACCUUGGGACGCAUUGGAAACUGGGGGACUGGAGUGUAGGAGAGGAAAGUGGAAUUCCACGUGUAGCGGUGAAAUGCGUAGAGAUGUGGAGGAACACCAGUGGCGAAGGCGACUUUCUGGCCUAUAACUGACGCUGAAGCGCGCAAGCGUGGGGAGCAAACAGG